UCAAAACAAAAAGGGGGCUGUGUCUCUGCAUGGGUGGCUUUUGAAACCAGAAAAAGUGUGUGUGAGUUUGUUUAGGAUUGGGUGCGUCUCUUCAAUUGGGCUAGGCACUUUCAAUUUUAUUACCACACAAGCCUUUCAAAUACGUAUUUAUCUCACCCCCAAGGAUGUGGGGGGGGGGUAAAAAGUCAAAAAGCCCAGGCAUAAGAUAUCUUGACUAGACGACCUCCUAAGGGUUUAAAACAUAUGUUAUUUUCUAAUCAGCGCCCCCCAAAGCUGUGCUUUGAAGCAUAAAUGCAAUAUCGGCAGACCGAAUAUGUCGAGACACCCGCUUGUGGUUUUUGGGUCUCUAGACAUUCGGGAGUACUUUAUAUGACCCUUUUAUGCAUACAGGAUGUCGCCCGAAAAAACGGCACCCCCCCCCCAGCUCUGUAAACUCAUUGCAGAAUAGUGAAACUAGCCAGUCGGUAUGACAGCCUAAAGCGCAACUCAAAAGACUCCCGGCCAACAGACAGAAGAGUUAUCAGGCCAACAGAUAAUCGCGGAAUCGGUCCUAAUGGAGCUUUCUGAAGCGGACAGACCCAAAAGAAGGAUCCUGGGUGCUUCAUGUACUCUGAGCGAUGACAUCGAUGCUAUUCUACCGUUCUGUUCGAACGGUUUUACCCUAACUCCCCUCAGGAACCAAGCUACAUAUUUCCGAACCAAACAUGGCACAACAUGUGCACAAGUGCAUUGUGCAAAAUCCCCCCGGCCCGAAAAGUUACUGCUUCAAGAAACGGCCCUACAUGGACAAGACUCCAAACGAGACAUGCCUUGCAGAAUCUGCAAGGCCUGGUGAAAAAAGUCUAAAGCCCACGGUUUCCGCAAUUCGUCAGAACAGCCCGCGUCAAAAAAGCGGAGACUCCUCCCCGGCAUAUAACGGCACCGAAGACCAUGCACACCGAGAACACGCGGAGGAUUUCGGCGCGCCGGACAUUCACAAUAAAACAAUGAAACUGGAUGAUUUCAACGUUUUAAAUGACAUUCCAGAGGUAGACGACUGGAUAUUCUGUAAUGCAGCCAGUCUUCUUGAUUCCUCCAAUUCUUAUGUAGAAACACCCAAACCUGAAAUAGACCAAGCUGGGUUUAUCAAUGCCUUUUCAAAGACUCUAAAUCCAGAAAUGUCUUGCUACACAAACGAAUGGUUGAUUUACUCGAGCGGCAAUACAGUCAGGAUCUAUCCUUCUGGCGUAGAACAAUGAUGUAACGACUGUCUGAAGAAGUAGACCAAGGCGCAGCGUGUUGAGUGCUCAUAUUUAAUUUUAAUUGAGACAAUUUGAACAAAACAAGAAAAUGACAGCCAAACAGUUCUGUCAGGUAUAACAAAAACAGUAAACAGAAAUUAACUACCCACAAACCCCAAAGGAAAACAGGCUGCCUAAGUAUGACUCCCAAUCAGCGACAACGAUGUACAGCUGUCCCUGAUUGAGAGCCAUACCAGGCCAAAACAAAGAAAUGCAAAGCAUAGAAAAAAGGACAUAGAAUGCCCACCCAAAUCACACCCUGACCAAACCUAAAUAGAGACAUAAAAAAGGCUCUCUCAGGUCAGGGACAGUACCCCCCCCCCC
rnacentral:lncRNA from 1 species